rnacentral:rRNA from 1 species
GCACCCGCACAAGCGGUGGAGCAUGCUGUUUAAUUCGAAAAUACGCGAAGAACCUUACCUAGACUUGACAUCCCGGGCAAAGCUAUAGAAAUAUAGUGGAGGCUAUCCCGGUGACAGAUGGUGCAUGGUUGUCGUCAGCUCGUGUCGUGAGAUGUUUGGUUAAGUCCAACAACGAGCGCAACCCUCGUCUUUAGUUACUAACAUUUAGUUGAGGACUCUAAAGAUACUGCCAGUGUAAGCUGGAGGAAGGUGGGGAUGACGUCAAAUCAUCAUGCCUCUUACGUCUAGGGCAACAGGCGUGCUACAAUGGCUGGUACAACGAGUCGCAACACGGCAACGUGAAGCUAAUCUCUUAAAGCCGGUCUCAGUUCGGAUUGAAGUCUGCAACUCGACUUCAUGAAGUUGGAAUCGCUAGUAAUCGCGAAUCAGAAUGUCGCGGUGAAUACGUUCUCGGGUGUU